GGUUUCGGGGAAGAGACCGGGGUUGAGCGUCUAGCCCAGCUCAGCGUGACUUCCGCCAGCGUUUAGAACGUUUUCGGGGUCCGAGUUGAAGAGCAAAACCAAGUGAAGGAAACUUCACUAAGUUCAGGGUGACAAGGGAGGAAGUACAGAGACUGCACUUUAAAUUCUGGAUGACAGACCUAUCAGGACUGAGUGGACCUUUGAGUGACAAGAUGGGGGUGUUCCAAAGAGACCAUAGCAGCCUGCAGCUAGGACUUUAAUUGAACUAUUGGCAUGGCUCAAUCCAUUGACCUGUUUUGGUUCCUGAUGAAGUUUUGUUAAUUUAAAUGAGAAAAAUAAGGACAGUGAAAAACAGAGCGCUUAAAAAGCACUGUCUGGAUAUCUUCAGAGGGAAAAAGGAGAAAGUUAACUGAAUUGGUGACACUUCGGGUCUCUCACAGAGGAAGGGCCAAGGAGAUUAAGAUCAAGUUGGGAAUUCUCCUCCAGAAGCCAGACUCAGUUGGUGACCUUGUCAUUCCGUACAAUGAGAAGCCAGAGAAACCAGCCAAGACCCAGAAACCCUCGCUGGACGAGUCCCUGC
rnacentral:sRNA from 1 species